AGACUCCGUAAUGUGCAAGAACACAGCCUAGCCUCCUGAUUGUCCCCCUCAUUAGGCCCAAAUAGAGCUUUAGAAUACAAUUUCUUACUUUAUUCCAAAGAUUAAAUCUUUGGAAAAUAAAUCCUGGAAUAUGGGCUAAUCCAGAUCCUAAGAAUAUUUAUGUAUUUUAGAUUAGAAUGAAUUAAGGUCCUGAAAACCAUGUAUAUUUAUUUACACAAGUUGAUGAUAAACUCACAUUGUAAUGGUGAUAAACUAUUAACUGUUUAGUCAUAAAAAUGUGUAUAUGUGAAUACUUCUACAAACAGGUUAUUUCCAGCAGGAAAGGCUAUAGCAGGUCAGAUCAGCAGAUUAGGAAUUAUUUCAGAUAUGAAAUAUGGACCCUUCCCCUAAUAAGCCAAAUCUCCAACACAUAAUCAAAUAUAGCUUUAUAACCAGUUUGCUGUGUGUGUAUGAGAGUGUAAUGAAUUGGUGACAGAUGUUGCUUGUUCAGAGGGGCUGUACAGUCCCACAGGGUCAGCUGAGUUUAGCUGAAAUCAUGCACAGCCAUUAUGCUUGAUGUAACCCUACAGAACAUGCAUCUGCUGAUUGGAUUCUCAUAUCUUCAUUUUACAUACAUUAUUUAAGGAAUAAAACACUUGGAAGCAUGCUGUAUAGAAACAUAAUCAGUGGAGGUGUGCUGUGAUGAGGCUCAGUGUGAACUAGUUACUGCUACCACCCCGAAGUUGAUUAUUUUCCUAUAACCGCAUGUCCUGAAGUGUUUUAUUCCUCUUAUACCACGGCAGUAUGACAGUGAUUGCAGUCAUUUAUUAAUUACAGAAAAACACAUCCCAUUUUUUAUCGAUUAUAGUUACAGUUAAUGUUGUUGAACAUCCACAAACCAAGUUAAUUUCUAUUAUCACUUAUGUUGUAGCAGGUAUAAACAGUCAUUCCCUCACCAGCCUCUCUUUUUUCUCUCUCUCUUGAAGUUAAUAAGACAAAAAUGCAGCUUGUCAUGUUACAGGGAAACCACAAAGCCCUCUGCUCUGAGAGCUUUUCUGUAACGGAAAUAAUUAAAGUUACAGCUUUUCCUCUGACUGACAAAAAACUGACAUUGGAGAGCCCUUCUAAAAAUGCUAAAUAACUGACUCCUUGCAGAAAACUUCACCAUAUCAAUAAUUACACAUUAAAAAUUUUAAAUCAUUUAUGUGUAUUCUACAACAACAAUGUGGAAUAAGUGAUUUAAUAUAAACCUUGCUGUCUGAGCGAUGCGGUUAUAGAAAAUUAUCAACACUUUUGACCAAUAGGAAUAGAGUAUUCAAUAACGCUGUGGUAUACAUAUGAAUAUAUGAACGUUUAUCGCAUAAAGUUAAUACUGAUGUUAAUGUAAAUACACAUUUAGAUGGUUUUAAUGUGGAUUGGCAGUAGUGCAGUAAUAUUGGUGAUCUAGUGGAAUUAAUCCUCAACAAAAACAUUUGAAGCUUUUACUCCUUAAUUGCUGACAUCGAACAUGAAGUUGAAUUAUAAACUAAAUACGUUUUAUAUGCAAAAUCAUUAAGAAAUUUCUGAGAUUAAUUCACUAACUCAAUUAAGUUAUAUUACGUUAUAUUUUUACACAAUCAGGAAAGCAUUUUUGUGUUCUGAUAUGACAGAUCAAUCAGGCCACUGUGUCACUGUGUUAAUUUGAUUAUAUUCCAAUAUCUCAUCUUUGUUCAAAAGCAAAGCCCUUCUAUUUCCUAUUAGCAUUGGUAUUCAAAGCAGACCUGAACAAAGCUUGUUCUGUCAUUCCAUGAUCUUCUGCUCUGUGUGUCAAAGCAGAUUAAUAUAAUCUAAUCAGUAUUCAUUUUGCAUUACUUCAGCCUUUUUUAAAUCGUUUGUCUUCUUGUUUUAAAGGAGGGACAAUAUAGAGUUCAUUCUGACAAGAAAGGUUUGUUUAAGAGAAACAGAUCUAGGGCAGUAAUGGCUACUGUGUGUAUAUCUCAUUAUUACAGCCAAAAAUACUGCUGGAAUCUUAGUGCAUUACAUGGUAAUUAAUGUCCAAAGACCCAGUUUUGCAUGUUUGUUUCUUAUGAAAUGUAUAGACUCAUGCAAAGUUCCAUAACUUGCUUAGUGAUGAGGCUAACUAAAUGUAUGUUAUAUUUUACCCCUCUUCCACACAUUCUUCAGUGGAAUGGCAGACAGGCUCUGUUAUUUUUCUUGGCAUGAUCUGGUCAUGCAGUGUGCCAGUGUGCAAUGCAAUGCUACAGUCUGGCUGUGUGCUUGAACCCAGAGUCAAUGGAGGCAUAGGUAUCCAUCAUCGACACACACACAUAUACCUUGAAAUGUGCCUUAAAAUGCUGCAAGCACAUAAUCGAGUCGAGACUCCAUACACAGAAGGAGGUUCACACACAGACUGUCAUCUGACCAUGCAGUUUUGGAGACAGAAAAUCAAGAGAAGAGGAACUGCUUGUGUGACUUGACUGUAUGCGGCCACAGUUGGUGCAGUUGGCGUUCCAAUUCAUCCCAAUGGUGUUCAGUGGGGUUGAUGUCAGGGCUCUGUGCAGGCCACUCGAGUUCUUCUACUCCAGCCUUGGCAAACCAUGUCUUCAUGGACCUUGCUUUAUGCUCAGGGGCAUUGCCAUGUUGGAACAGAUUGUGAGGAGCUUGCACAUCAGGACGAGUGGAUUCACCCGAGCUGAUGGCGUGACACUGAAAAAAUUCUGAUACUGUGAGGAUUUUGCCUGCAGAUACGGAUUUAAGUAACAUAUUGACCCCUGACAGGGAACUUUGAUAGAGAGUUUGGAGUUUCUGACUCCAGACGAAAAUAAGACAUCUGUAAUUAUUUUAGUGGAUCUCUACAGUUACGGCUAAACAGGACUGAGUGUGGGUUAUCUUCAUAAAGUAGGAUUCUCAAAGAGGAGGCUUCAAAAUACCAAUACACUUCAAUCAUAUACAAAUGGAAGGCCUUUUUUGCACCCUGACUGGAGAUGCAAGAUUCAAAGAUACAGACAUUCUGAUUUUGAUCUUUGAAAAGAAAUUUGAAGCAUGCAGCAGGACAACUGAGCCAGCAGUGAAAGAAUUGAACGACAAAGUCCUUGUUAGAAAAACAAAAGUACUAACAAAAAAGUAAACCCCCCCCCCCCC